AGAUUGAACGCUGGCGGCAGGCCUAACACAUGCAAGUCGAGCGGCAGCGCGGGUACUUGUACCUGGUGGCGAGCGGCGGACGGGUGGGUAAUGCCUAGGAAUCUGCCUGGUAGUGGGGGAUAACGCUCGGAAACGGACGCUAAUACCGCAUACGUCCUACGGGAGAAAGCAGGGGACCUUCGGGCCUUGCGCUAUCAGAUGAGCCUAGGUCGGAUUAGCUAGUUGGUGAGGUAAUGGCUCACCAAGGCGACGAUCCGUAACUGGUCUGAGAGGAUGAUCAGUCACACUGGAACUGAGACACGGUCCAGACUCCUACGGGAGGCAG
rnacentral:rRNA from 1 species